CAAUAGCGUAUAUUAAAGUUGUUGCAGUUAGAACGCUCGUAGUCGGAUUUCGGGGCGGGCCGACCGGUCUGCCGAUGGGUAUGCACUGGUCGGCGCGUCCUUCCUUCCGGAGACCGUCCCUACUCUUAACUGAGCGGGGGCGGGAGACGGGACUUUUACUUUGAAAAAAUCAGAGUGUUUCAAGCAGGCAGCUCGCUCUUGCAUGGAUUAGCAUGGGAUAAUGAAAUAGGACUUUGGUGCUAUUUUGUUGGUUUCGAACACCGAAGUAAUGAUGAGAAGGGACAGUCAGGGGCACUCGUAUUCCGCCGAGAGAGGUGAAAUUCUCAGGCCAGCGGAAGACGAACCACUGCGAAAGCAUUUGCCAGGGAUGUUUUCACUGA
rnacentral:rRNA from 1 species